rnacentral:rRNA from 1 species
CACGUAGGGUGCGAGCGUUGUCCGGAAUUAUUGGGCGUAAAGAGCUCGUAGGCGGUGUGUCGCGUCGGCCGUGAAAACCUGCAGCUUAACUGUGGGCUUGCGGUCGAUACGAGCAUCACUGGAGUUCGGCAGGGGAGACUGGAAUUCCUGGUGUAGCGGUGAAAUGCGCAGAUAUCGGAAGGAACACCAGUGGCGAAAGCGGCUUCCUGGUCCAGCAUCGACGUUCAGGCACGAAAGCGUGGGGAGCAAACAGG